CCUACGGUAGUCAGCAGUGAGGAAUAUUGGUCCAUGGACGAGAGUCUGAACCAGCCAAGUAGCGUGCAGGAUGACUGCCCUAUUGGUUGUAAACUUCUUUUAUAAAGGAAUAAAACGAGGCACGUGUGCCUUUUUGCAUGUACUUUAUGAAUAAGGAUCGGCUCACUCCGUGCCAGCAGCCGCGGUAAUACGGAGGAUCCGAGCGUUAUCCGGAUUUAUUGGGUUUAAAGGGAGCGUAGAUGGGUUGUUAAGUCAGUUGUGAAAGUUUGCGGCUCAACCGUAAAAUUGCAAUUGAUACUGGCAGUCUUGAGUACAGUUGAGGUAGGCGGAAUUCGUGGUGUAGCGGUGAAAUGCUUAGAUAUCACGAAGAACCCCGAUUGCGAAGGCAGCUUACUAAACUGUGACUGACAUUGAUGCUCGAAAGUGUGGGUAUCAAACAGGAUUAGAGACCCGAGUAGUC
rnacentral:rRNA from 1 species